rnacentral:rRNA from 1 species
CCUACGGGGGGCAGCAGUCGAGAAUUUUUCUCAAUGGGCGAAAGCCUGAAGGAGCGACGCCGCGUGGAGGAUGAAGGUCUUCGGAUUGUAAACUCCUGUCAUUUGGGAACAAGGAGGCGGGUAGUCACUGACUCGUCUUUGAUAGUACCAGAAGAGGAAGAGACGGCUAACUCUGUGCCAGCAGCCGCGGUAAUACAGAGGUCUCAAGCGUUGUUCGGAUUCAUUGGGCGUAAAGGGUGCGUAGGCGGCGCCGUAAGUCGGAUGUGAAAUCUUCGGGCUCAACCCGGAAACUGCAUUCGAUACUGCGGUGCUUGAGGACUCGAGAGGAGAUCGGAAUUCACGGUGUAGCAGUGAAAUGCGUAGAUAUCGUGAGGAAGACCAGUGGCGAAGGCGGAUCUCUGGAGAGUUCCUGACGCUGAGGCACGAAGGCCAGGGGAGCA